GACGAACGCUGGCGGCGUGCUUAACACAUGCAAGUCGAACGGAAAGGCCCUGCUUUUGUGGGGUGCUCGAGUGGCGAACGGGUGAGUAACACGUGAGUAACCUGCCCUUGACUUUGGGAUAACUUCAGGAAACUGGGGCUAAUACCGGAUAGGAGCUCCUGCUGCAUGGUGGGGGUUGGAAAGUUUCGGCGGUUGGGGAUGGACUCGCGGCUUAUCAGCUUGUUGGUGGGGUAGUGGCUUACCAAGGCUUUGACGGGUAGCCGGCCUGAGAGGGGGACCGGGGACAUUGGGACUGAGAUACGGCCCAGAAUCCUACGGGAGGCAGCGGUCGGGAAUAUUGCACAAUGGGCGGAAGCCUGAUGCAGCAACGCCGCGUGCGGGAUGACGGGCUUCGGGUUGUAAACCGCUUUCGCCUGUGACGAAGCGUGAGUGACGGUAAUGGGUAAAGAAGCAACGGCUAACUACGUG
rnacentral:rRNA from 1 species